rnacentral:rRNA from 1 species
AGCGAACGCUGNGCGGCAGGCCUAAUACAUGCAAGUCGAGCGCACCUUCGGGUGAGCGGCGGACGGGUGAGUAACGCGUGGGAACGUGCCCUUUGGUUCGGAACAACACAGGGAAACUUGUGCUAAUACCGAAUGUGCCCUUCGGGGGAAAGAUUUAUCGCCAUUGGAGCGGCCCGCGUUGGAUUAGCUAGUUGGUGGGGUAAAGGCCCACCAAGGCGACGAUCCAUAGCUGGUCUGAGAGGAUGAUCAGCCACACUGGGACUGAGACACGGCCCAGACUCCUACGGGAGGCAGCAGUAGGGAAUCUUGCGCAAUGGGCGAAAGCCUGACGCAGCCAUGCCGCGUGAAUGAUGAAGGUCUUAGGAUUGUAAAAUUCUUUCACCGGGGAAGAUAAUGACGGUACCCGGAGAAGAAGCCCCGGCUAACUUCGUGCCAGCAGCCGCGGUAAUACGAAGGGGGCUAGCGUUGCUCGGAAUUACUGGGCGUAAAGGGCGCGUAGGCGGACAGUUUAGUCAGAGGUGAAAGCCCAGGGCUCAACCUUGGAGCUGCCUUUGAUACUGGCUGUCUUGAGUUCGGGAGAGGUGAGUGGAAUGCCGAGUGUAGAGGUGAAAUUCGUAGAUAUUCGGCGGAACACCAGUGGCGAAGGCGACUCACUGGCCCGAUACUGACGCUGAGGCGCGAAAGCGUGGGGAGCAAACA